UGCCGACAAGUCGAAGAAUCGAGUUCCGGAAGGAGCGAGCUAUCCCGCCUCGGCUACAGGACAGCAAUACGUGAUAUUUGGAUGCGAUAGCCAACGAUUCUCGCCGACUAUGAUCCUGCUCGAGGUACCAUGGUUAUUCGUAUCACGGCUACGCCAUUUGGGAAGCAACUCAGGAAUAUGUAAAUGUUGAGGUCAAAGCGACGGUUAAUAGCAUCUAUAUCAGGUGUUUAUGUUUCGUAUUAGAUUAGACUCGCGAUCUUACGUUUAUUUUUGAAGAUUUGAGUUCUUGGAUUUUCGAUUUUAUUGUAUUUGUUUUCAAGAAUUAUAAGCUAGGUUAGGUUGAUUGUUGCAUUGCCUGAAGCUUUGGGAGGUUCGACGGAUGAAUGAAUCCAUUACGAAUCGCAUGUUUUCUCAGAGGAAUCUUAGUUACUUGAUGAUUAAUCAGAUUCAAUGAUUUGCGACAUUACUGAAGAUUCUUCCAUUAUAUGUUAUUGUGUGUAUUUGUUGUAGUGGAUGAAUGCUACAAGAUGGGAGAUGCGGCGAAACCAUUUGGUAGAACUCUUUGAUUUCUUUUGCAGGCGGGACAUACUGCUUAAGCCAGUCCGGAAGAGGCAGAACAAGUGAUUCAUUGAUGCAUUCAGAUGAUUCGCACAGUUUGAACGUUACAGGUUUAAGCAUUUACCCUCGACAAAGAGGUCGGAGGCUUCGACCCUCCAACUCCACACGUUGAAUCAAAAAAGAAUAGAAAGGAAGCAAUUUGGCAUGUCAUUUGUCUUGGGCAUUUGAAUGCAGGGUAGCAAGGAAUUGCUUGAGACACCUAUUGUAGACGCAAGGUCGUUCCAAGUGAACCAAGUGACCCGACUUCGGUAUGCUUUGAAACGUUGCAUUGUCGCCGAGGUCCCUACAUUUAGCAUUAUUCGAAACAGAACUUAGGAUUCAAUUUCAAAUGAAUACUUAGUUAACUUUUAAUGGAAUGAAAUGAUACGUACUCUUGUAGUUUUCGGGCAAGCUCGACAUUGAAAAUCUGAUCAUUUAGGCCCCAUAAAAGAUGUAUCUUCUGCAAAGAGAUGGAUGAAGAAUCAUAAGCAGUCUUCCAAGUGAAGGAAUUA